rnacentral:misc_RNA from 1 species
UACAGAGGUCCCGAGCGUUGUUCGGAUUCACUGGGCGUAAAGGGUGCGUAGGUGGCAAGGAAAGUCUGAUGUGAAAUCUCUGAGCUCAACUCAGAAAUGGCAUUGGAUACUAUCUUGCUGGAGGAUCGGAGGGGGGACUGGAAUUCUUGGUGUAGCAGUGAAAUGCGUAGAUAUCAAGAGGAACACCGGUGGCGAAGGCGAGUCCCUGGACGAUACCUGACACUGAGGCACGAAAGCUAGGGGAGCAAACAGG